GGAGGGCUGUCCGAGCGGCCGAUGGAGCCAGUCUUGAAAACUGGUGGGGUGUCAAAGCCCUCAAGAGUUCGAAUCUCUUGCCCUCCGCCA
rnacentral:tRNA from 2 species